rnacentral:rRNA from 1 species
UACGGAGGGUGCAAGCGUUAUCCGGAUUCACUGGGUUAAAAGGGUGCGUAGGAGGGCAGGUAAGUCAGUGGUGAAAUCUCCAAGCUUAACUUGGAAACUGCCGUUGAUACUAUCUGUCUUGAAUAUUGUGGAGGUGAGCGGAAUAUGUCAUGUAGCGGUGAAAUGCUUAGAUAUGACAUAGAACACCAAUUGCGAAGGCAGCUCACUACUCAAUCAUUGACUCUGAGGCACGAAAGCGUGGGGAUCAAACAGG